rnacentral:rRNA from 1 species
UACGUAGGGGGCGAGCGUUGUCCGGAUUUACUGGGCGUAAAGGGUGAGUAGGCGGUUAUAUAUGUCAGGUGUAAAAAGCUAUGGCUUAACCAUAGUAAGCACUUGAAACUGUAUGACUUGAGUGCAGGAGAGGUAAGUGGAAUUCCUAGUGUAGCGGUGAAAUGCGUAGAUAUUAGGAGGAACACCAGUGGCGAAGGCGACUUACUGGACUGUAGCUGACGCUGAGUCAUGAAAGCGUGGGUAGCAAACAGGAUUAGAUACCCU